UCGAGAAUUUUUCACAAUGGGCGAAAGCCUGAUGGAGCGACGCCGCGUGGGGGAUGAAUGGCUUCGGCCCGUAAACCCCUGUCAUUCGCGAGCAAACGUUAUUAUUUAAAAGAUGAUAGCCUGAUAGUAGCGAAAGAGGAAGGGACGGCUAACUCUGUGCCAGCAGCCGCGGUAAUACAGAGGUCCCAAGCGUUGUUCGGAUUUACUGGGCGUAAAGGGUGCGUAGGUGGUGGGGUAAGUCGGAUGUGAAAUCUCCGAGCUCAACUCGGAAAGUGCAUUGGAAACUACCCUGCUCGAGGGUUGGAGGGGGGACUGGAAUACUUGGUGUAGCAGUGAAAUGCGUAGAUAUCAAGUGGAACACCAGUGGCGAAGGCGAGUCCCUGGACAACUCCUGACACUGAGGCACGAAAGCCAGGGGAGCAAACA
rnacentral:rRNA from 1 species